rnacentral:rRNA from 1 species
UGAACGCUGGCGGCAGGCCUAACACAUGCAAGUCGAACGGUAACAGGAAUCAGCUUGCUGAUUCGCUGACGAGUGGCGGACGGGUGAGUAAUGUCUGGGAAACUGCCUGAUGGAGGGGGAUAACUACUGGAAACGGUAGCUAAUACCGCAUAACGUCGCAAGACCAAAGAGGGGGACCUUCGGGCCUCUUGCCAUCGGAUGUGCCCAGAUGGGAUUAGCUAGUAGGUGGGGUAACGGCUCACCUAGGCGACGAUCCCUAGCUGGUCUGAGAGGAUGACCAGCCACACUGGAACUGAGACACGGUCCAGACUCCUACGGGAGGCAGCAGUGGGGAAUAUUGCACAAUGGGCGCAAGCCUGAUGCAGCCAUGCCGCGUGUAUGAAGAAGGCCUUCGGGUUGUAAAGUACUUUCAGCGGGGAGGAAGGGAGUAAAGUUAAUACCUUUACUCAUUGACGUUACCCGCAGAAGAAGCACCGGCUAACUCCGUGCCAGCAGCCGCGGUAAUACGGAGGGUGCAAGCGUUAAUCGGAAUUACUGGGCGUAAAGCGCACGCAGGCGGUUUGUUAAGUCAGAUGUGAAAUCCCCGGGCUCAACCUGGGAACUGCAUCUGAUACUGGCAAGCUUGAGUCUCGUAGAGGGGGGUAGAAUUCCAGGUGUAGCGGUGAAAUGCGCACAGAUCUGGAGGAAUACCGGUGGCGAAGGCGGCCCCCUGGACGAAGACUGACGCUCAGGUGCGAAAGCGUGGGGGAGCAAACAGGAUUAGAUACCCCGGUAGUCCACGCCGUAAACGAUGUCGACUUGGAGGUUGUGCCCUUGAGGCGUGGCUUCCGGAGCUAACGCGUUAAGUCGACCGCCUGGGGAGUACGGCCGCAAGGUUAAAACUCAAAUGAAUUGACGGGGGCCCGCACAAGCGGUGGAGCAUGUGGUUUAAUUCGAUGCAACGCGAAGAACCUUACCUGGUCUUGACAUCCACAGAACCCUGUAGAGAUACGGGGGUGCCUUCGGGAACUGUGAGACAGGUGCUGCAUGGCUGUCGUCAGCUCGUGUUGUGAAAUGUUGGGUUAAGUCCCGCAACGAGCGCAACCCUUAUCCUUUGUUGCCAGCGGUCCGGCCGGGAACUCAAAGGAGACUGCCAGUGAUAAACUGGAGGAAGGUGGGGAUGACGUCAAGUCAUCAUGGCCCUUACGACCAGGGCUACACACGUGCUACAAUGGCGCAUACAAAGAGAAGCGACCUCGCGAGAGCAAGCGGAUCUCAUAAAGUGCGUCGUAGUCCGGAUUGGAGUCUGCAACUCGACUCCAUGAAGUCGGAAUCGCUAGUAAUCGUGGAUCAGAAUGCCACGGUGAAUACGUUCCCGGGCCUUGUACACACCGCCCGUCACACCAUGGGAGUGGGUUGCAAAAGAAGUAGGUAGCUUAACCUUCGGGAGGGCGCUUACCACUUUGUGAUUCAUGA